rnacentral:rRNA from 1 species
GGUGGUAAAUUUCAUCUAAAGCUAAAUAUAGGCUUGAGACCGAUAGCAAACAAGUACCAUGAGGGAAAGAUGAAAAGGACUUUGAAAAGAGAGUUAAAAGUGCUUGAAAUCGCUGAAAGGGAAGCGAAUGGAACCAGUCUUCUGGCUGAGAUUGUUGCGUGCUACUGUGAUGCCUGGCUGCUUCAACGCAAGUGUGGCAGUUAGAGUUGAUCAGCUGUGCGUGAUGUUUCUCAGCUUGUUAGUCAACCUUUGUUCGUGCUUGGGGAUAACUGCGGGUUCCAUGUUCUUCUCUGCGGAGUUGAGCUCGUGCCUGUAAGGACUCAGGUGUGUACAAUUGGUGACAAAAUGGUUCUCUUCGACCCGUCUUGAAACACGGACCAAGGAGUCUAGCACAUGUGCAAGUUCACAGGUGGCAAGCCUGCUUGCGCAAUGAAGGUGACUGCUGGGAUAUUUGCACCAGCAACCGACCAAUCAAUUGAGAGAAGUUUGAGUAUGAGCAUAUGUGUUAGG